rnacentral:rRNA from 1 species
GACGAACGCUGGCGGCGUGCUUAACACAUGCAAGUCGAACGGAAAGGCCCUGCUUUUGUGGGGUGCUCGAGUGGCGAACGGGUGAGUAACACGUGAGUAACCUGCCCUUGACUUUGGGAUAACUUCAGGAAACUGGGGCUAAUACCGGAUAGGAGCUCCUGCUGCAUGGUGGGGGUUGGAAAGUUUCGGCGGUUGGGGCUGGACUCGCGGCUUAUCAGCUUGUUGGUGGGGUAGUGGCUUACCAAGGCUUUGACGGGUAGCCGGCCUGAGAGGGUGACCGGCCACAUUGGGACUGAGAUACGGCCCAGACUCCUACGGGAGGCAGCAGUGGGGAAUAUUGCACAAUGGGCGGAAGCCUGAUGCAGCAACGCCGCGUGCGGGAUGACGGCUUUCGGGUUGUAAACCGCUUUCGCCUGUGACGAAGCGUGAGUGACGGUAAUGGGUAAAGAAGCACCGGCUAACUACGUG